GCCGGGUGCGGUGGCUCGUGCCUGUAAUCCCAGCACUUUGGGAGGCUGAGGCGGGUGGAUCACCUUAGGUCAGGAGUUCAAGACCAGCCUGGCCAAUAUGGUGAAACCCCGUCUCUA
rnacentral:SRP_RNA from 1 species